AGGGAUCAUGUCAAGAUGGAUGGAAGCAUGGAAGGUUAACGGGUCAAAAGGAGGCGAAGAAACGGAUGCGAAUACGAACACUUAAGGUUGUACGAAUCACAGAUUAUCAUCACGAGGAGUAGCGAUUAAAGACCGAGUCACAAGAUAGAUUGUACGGUAAUGCUUGAGUAUGUAAUUUGAUAAACAUAAGUUAUGCUUUUAUUUUAUUAAAUGAGUACGAAGGAUGCAUAUA